UCUUGCCCCACAAAUAGAACCCCUUUGUGAGUUCACCUUCCAGGCAGCUGGCUACACACCAGAAUCUCCUCUUGAGUAGGGACACUUCUCAAGGUUAGUUAAUGUCUGCACAGAGAUUCACCUGGUGAUGCCUUGCUUGAAAAUCUGAGUUGCAGUUAGCUGAGGCUCCCCACCCCAGUGUAAAUCCAGCAAAAUGGAGACAAAACACUGUGGAAACCCAAAACCCCUCCAUAAUGCAGCUGAUUCCCUCACUUUUGGACUUUUGGUAAUGGCAGACCCCAGUGACUGGAUUCAUCAACCAUAGGAAAUGUUUCCAGAAGCAAAGAGAGACAGAGUCAGUGAAAAUCUGCAGGAUUAUGGAAGUGACCACAGAGUGAGGCUCUUGGAAAAGAUGCGGUGGAAGCAUAUGGAGCAAACAAUAUAUAGUAUGAUUUCAGCUUUAUGCUUAUGGUAAACUAAAAC
rnacentral:lncRNA from 1 species